rnacentral:lncRNA from 1 species
CAGGACAUCCAGGCCUGCUCGGCCGCCUGGAAGGCUGACGGCGUGUGCUCCACCGUGGCCGGCAGUCGGCCAGAGAACGUGAGGAAGAACCGCUACAAAGACGUGCUGCCUUAUGAUCAGACGCGAGUAAUCCUCUCCCUGCUCCAGGAAGAGGGACACAGCGACUACAUUAAUGGCAACUUCAUCCGGGGCGUGGAUGGAAGCCUGGCCUACAUUGCCACGCAAGGACCCUUGCCUCACACCCUGCUAGACUUCUGGAGACUGGUCUGGGAGUUUGGGGUCAAGGUGAUCCUGAUGGCCUGUCGAGAGAUAGAGAAUGGGCGGAGAUUAAGUCUCACGUAUAAUCCAGGCUGGUCUCGAACUCCUGGCCUCAAGCUGUCCUUCCACCUCGGCCUCCCAAAGUGCUAAGAUUACAGGCAUGAGCCACUGCAUCUAGCCAGGACUUACUUUUAAAUCUAAUCUGACAGUCUCUGCCUUUAAUUGGAAUAUUCAGCCUUUAAUGUAAUUAUCAAUAAUGUUGGGUUUAAACCUACCAUCUUGCUAUUUGUUUUCUAUUUGCUCUGUUUGUUCUUUUCUUCUUUUUUUCUCUUUCAGAGUGA